rnacentral:rRNA from 1 species
GACGAACGCUGGCGGCGUGCUUAACACAUGCAAGUCGAACGGAAAGGCCCUGCUUUUUUGGGGUUCUCGAGUGGCGAACGGGUGAGUAACACGUGAGUAUCCUGCCCUUGACUUUGGGAUAACUUCAGGAAACUGGGGCUAAUACCGGAUAGGAGCUCCUGCUGCAUGGUGGGCGUUGGAAAGUUUCGGCGGUUGGGGAUGGACUCGCGGCUUAUCAGCUUGUUGGUGGGGUAGUGGCUUACCAAGGCUUUGACGGGUAGCCGGCCUGAGAGGGUGACCGGCCACAUUGGGACUGAGGUACGGCCCAGACUCCUACGGGAGGCAGCAGUGGGAAAUAUUGCACAAUGGGCGGAAGCCUGAUGCAGCAACGCCGCGUGCGGGAUGACGGCCUUCGGGUUGUGAACCGCUUUCGCCUGUGACGAAGCGUGAGUGACGGUAAUGGGUAAAGAAGCACCGGCUAACUACGUG